rnacentral:rRNA from 1 species
AUUGAACACUGGCGGCAGGCCUUACACAUGCAAGUCGAGCGGAUGACGGGAGCUUGCUCCUUGAUUCAGCGGCGGACGGGUGAGUAAUGCCUAGGAAUCUGCCUGGUAGUGGGGGACAACGUUUCGAAAGGAACGCUAAUAUCGCAUACGUCCUACGGGAGAAAGCAGGGGACCUUCGGGCCUUGCGCUAUCAGAUGAGCCUAGGUCGGAUUAGCUAGUUGGUGGGGUAAUGGCUCACCAAGGCGACGAUCCGUAACUGGUCUGAGAGGAUGAUCAGUCACACUGGAACUGAGACACGGUCCAGACUCCUACGGGAGGCAGCAGUGGGGAAUAUUGGACAAUGGGCGAAAGCCUGAUCCAGCCAUGCCGCGUGUGUGAAGAAGGUCUUCGGAUUGUAAAGCACUUUAAGUUGGGAGGAAGGGCAGUAAGCUAAUACCUUGCUGUUUUGACGUUACCGACAGAAUAAGCACCGGCUAACUCUGUGCCAGCAGCCGCCGUAA